GUCCGAUUCCGUAAGUAAAGUUCAAAUAUUAAAGGUAACAUGUACAAUGAAUAUUUUUGUUUGCUAUAUUUAGAUUUUAUGAUGACUAAAAGAACUAGAAAAAAAAUCUUUCCGCCAAGGAAUGAAUUAAUAUUGACGCCCUCCACAAUCAGUUCCGGUUGCAAGAAUAAACUUUUGAUAAACUUUUGAGCUUUCGUAUCCUUUUUUAAAAAUUUUUCUCACAGGCUUCAUGGAACUGAAGUUAAUUAACCGUAGUGAAUUUUUCAGCUAGUUGCAGUUUUAAAUGAGCCAGAUUUAAUCUAAAAAAGAUAAAUUUAUGUGUCAAAUUUUUUGGCUGGGUCAAGUUUGACUUCGAAUUAUUAACAAAUGGGAUGACACAAGGAUGCCAAUUGUUACUCAAAAUAUAGUUUAAUAAACCCCUUUUCAUAUUUCCAUUAAAUAAGACCACUCGUAAAGAUGCAGUUCAAAAACAAUGCUGGUGAAAGGCACACUCUGAAAUGCCAUACAGCAGGGACCACCAUUUUCUCAUCAUAGGCUACAUUUAUUUUCGCAAGGCCAUCGAAUCAAAAAUAUGUCUUAGAUGGACUCUCUAGUCAAAUCAGAUUCUCUAGAAAUGAAUCUGGCUAUGGGUUUCUCCAUAAGUCUUCCGGAAAAUAAAUUUAACAUAUCUUGAGAAAAAUCGUAUGGGUCAUGGUAGGGUGCCUGUGUAGGAUUUUAACUGGAGUUUUACGAACGGUAUUUUUUAAAGGAAAUAUGAUCAAGGAAGUACUAAACUUUAUUUUGAGUAACAAUUGGCAUUAUUGCGUCAUUCCAUUUGGUAAUAAUUCGAAGUCAAACUUGACCCAGCCAAAAAAAUGACACACAAAUUUAUCUUUUUUUUUUAUCAAAUCUGGCUCAUUCAAAAUUGCAACUAGCUGAAGAAAUUCUUGCAACCGGUACUCCUUGUGGAGGGGGUCAAUAUUAAUUCAUGGGGCUCCAAUACCAUGGGCGAAAAUUGUUUCUAGUUCUUUUAGUCAUCAUAAAGACUAAAUAUAGCAAACAAAAAUUUGCAUUGUACAUGUUACCUUUAAUAUUUGAAUUUUACUUAAAGAAUUGGACGGCUGUACAAUUAAUUUAUGUGCGAAAUAAAAAAAAAAUAAGGAUACCAUAGAAGAAAAUUAACAACUUUCUUCAUAAACAGAUCAUAUCUUCGAUACGAAAUUAAAUUUUUCUGUUUACGUUGACCGUACGCCAAGGUGCUCAAACUAGGUUGAUGAUGGUGUACGAAUAAUAUGUGUGCUUACUGUAUGUACAUAUAUACCCAUAUCACCGCGAACUGUUUAAAAAAAUAACGAAUAACUGGACUCAAAUCUUAAUAAAGUACAUAAUGUAUGUAGGUACAUACAUACAUAUAUAUGUAUGAUUGUUCAACUUACCUAUGUAUUUUAUGCAUGUGUACUAGGUACAUGUGGAACAUAAC
rnacentral:lncRNA from 1 species